rnacentral:misc_RNA from 1 species
GAUGAAGAACGCAGCGAAAUGCGAUAAGUAGUGUGAAUUGCAGAAUUCAGUGAAUCAUCGAAUCUUUGAACGCACAUUGCGCCCUUUGGUAUUCCUUAGGGCAUGCCUGUUCGAGCGUCAUUUAAACCUUCAAGCUAAGCUUGGUGUUGGGUGACUGUCCGCUUCACGGCGGACUCGCCUCAAAAUUAUUGGCGGCCGGUACAUUGGCUUCGAGCGCAGCAGAAACGCGAACUCGGGCCCGUCGUAUUGGCUCCCAGAAGCUAUCUUCACAAUUUUGACCUCGGAUCAGGUAGGGAUACCCGCUGAACUUAAGCAUAUCAUAAGCGGAGG